GAGGGGAUAGCUCAGUGGUAGAGUGCAUGCUUAACAUGCACGAGGUCCUGGGUUCAAUCCCCAGUGCCCCCA
rnacentral:tRNA from 1 species